rnacentral:rRNA from 1 species
GCUUACCAUGCAAGUCGAACGAUGAAGUGGAGCUUGCUCCACGGAAUUAGUGGCGAACGGGCUGAGUAACACGUGAAUAACCUGCCCUCAAUUUCGGAAUAACCCAGGGAAACCUGGGCUAAUACCGGAUACGUAAACCUGUGGCAUCACAUGGUUUUGGAAAGUUUUUCGAUUGAGGAUGGAUUCGCGGCCUAUCAGCUUGUUGGUGAGGUAAUGGCUCACCAAGGCGACGACGGGUAGCCGGCCUGAGAGGGUGGACGGCCACACUGGGACUGAGACACGGCCCAGACUCCUACGGGAGGCAGCAGUGGGGAAUAUUGCGCAAUGGACGAAAGUCUGACGCAGCGACGCCUCGUGAGGGACGAAGGUCUUCGGAUUGUAAACCUCUUUCAGCAGGGACGAAGCGAAAGUGACGGUACCUGCAGAAGAAGCACCGGCUAACUAUGUGCCAGCAGCCGCGGUAAUACAUAGGGUGCAAGCGUUGUCCGGAUUUAUUGGGCGUAAAGAGUUCGUAGGCGGUUUUUCGCGUCGGAUGUGAAAACUCAGGGCUCAACCCUGAGCCUGCAUUCGAUACGGGAAGACUCUAGGACGGCAGGGGAGACUGGAACUUCUGG